UGCUAUGAUGACACAAGACUAGAGUCUCUGAUUGUAACAUGAAGCUCUUUUACAGUGCGCUGAGUA
rnacentral:snoRNA from 1 species